AAUGUGACUGGGGAAGCAAUACAAUUUGGCUGGACCCUAGAGGGUGGCAGGAGAGGCAGCCUCUACAUUGCUUCCCUCAUGGAUGGAAACCGGGAGAUCAAUAAAACCACUACAAAUGAGACAAAAACUAUGUUUAACCAUCUGCUUCCCGGUCAUGUAUACACAAUAUCUGUGGCAGUAUUAUCUUGUGCUGAGAACAGCAGGACUUCAGUGAGUGUCCGAACAGAUCCUGCUUCCUGUUUCAGUGGAACUGAGUUUUGCACACCACAAAAUCGUGGCUGUACUGACUUAAAACAUACUGUAUGCUCAAAUUACCAAGCAUUUGCCUGCAGUGUUUUUUUAAAAACCCAGAUGUUUAAUCAUAUGCUUUAUAACUCUGAUAGUGAAGACUACAAGACAAUGUCUGAAAGUAUCAAAACAGAGGUUGUUAGACAGAUGCAGAUGAAACUAGAAGAUGACCACUUUGACAUUGUGAUGCUUGGAUUCAGACCCGGGAGCGUGAUUGCCUAUUUUGUUUUUCUACUGCAAAAACAAGAGUUCCUUGAUGUGAACAUUCUGCAAGCAUACUUAAGUGACAUAUUAAAAAGCAAGUUUGGCAACCAAACUGAAGUAACUGUACAAUCACUGUCUGCUCAAUCAUCACCUGGAGAAAGUCGUGCCUGGAAAGUAGCAGUGAUUGUCCUUGGAGUUUUACUUGGAGUUGCAUUAGUGCUACUUUUUCUGAUAACAUUGGCCUACAUUUACAUGAAGAAAAGCUCGGGUAAAUACUUGGUUGAAUCUAAUGGACUCCUGGGAAAUUUUGUUUACAAGCACUUAUAUUAGUUUUUCUUCACACCCUAAAUAUAUAAGACAGACUGAUGGCUUAUAUUAUAAUUCUGUUUUAAAAUUCUAUGUUAAUUGUUUUUGUUAACCUAAGACAACUCUACACUCUCCUUCCCAAUGUCCAUCACUGAAUUCUUGAAUACCUACAACCUCUAAUGAAUGAUCCUUAGGACAUUACCUUCAGAUAUGUGACGGGGAUUUUCCCCAUUGUGGAAGUGGGAAACUAAGACACAGAAACUUCUAUUCAGAUUAUCCACUAUAGGUGUUGCAAUGAAUCCUAUUCAUUGACUAUAAAGAGAGGCAGGCUUUGAAUCACUCAUUGCUCUCUUAAAUGCAGAUGACAGAGCAAUCAGGGUGACUGAGCUUAGCAUCUAUAGCAGGUGAUCUGACUAUACAUCUGAGCCCACAUUCAUUGUGUUGAGCUUUAUUUACUUAGCCAAAGG
rnacentral:lncRNA from 1 species